CCAGACUCCUACGGGAGGCAGCAGUGAGGAAUAUUGGUCAAUGGGCUUACGCCUGAACCAGCCAAGUCGCGUGAGGGAAGACUGCCCUAUGGGUUGUAAACCUCUUUUGUCAGGGAGCAACGCCGGCUACGUGUAGCCGGACUGAGAGUACCUGAAGAAAAAGCAUCGGCUAACUCCGUGCCAGCAGCCGCGGUAAUACGUAGGUGGCAAGCGUUAUCCGGAUUUACUGGGUGUAAAGGGCGUGUAGGCGGGAAAGCAAGUCAGAUGUGAAAACCAUGGGCUCAACCUGUGGCCUGCAUUUGAAACUGUUUCCCUUGAGUGUCGGAGAGGUAAUCGGAAUUCCUUGUGUAGCGGUGAAAUGCGUAGAUAUAAGGAAGAACACCAGUGGCGAAGGCGGAUUACUGGACGAUAACUGACGGUGAGGCGCGAAAGCGUGGGGAGCAAACAGGAUUAGAUACCCCUGUACA
rnacentral:rRNA from 1 species